GGCACCUCUCCGUGUUGCGGCGCUGCGUGGCAGUGCGCGCCGAUCCGCCGCUGGCUGGCUGGCUGCGCAACACACGCGUGGCUUUAGUCGUGAAUGGCCUCCACUGCUUGGCACAUACGCUGGGCGAGAAGCAGCCGUGAGUCCCGGACGACGCGACUUUUCGCCGCGUCCCACACCCAGGAGGAGGAGGAGGCGGACGGGGGGCUGAAUGCGGUGGCUUUGAUCGGUGCAGUUAUUCCCUGCUGUCAGUCGGCUUGGCCGCUUCGGAGCGCUCGGACACGGACGGAGGAGCCGCACCGCACGGAGCGCUGCAGCAGCAGCAGCAACACGGAGGAGCCGUGGAUGUGAUGCCAGGGCUGGACAGAAAAACGCAGCUUCGAGUCUAGAGAGGAGAGAACCGUGGAGCGUUUCUUCUGGAGAGGGACUUCGGUUCAGCGUUGGUGAAAUGUAGCGCCUCGCUGCUUCCAAAGCUGGAUUUGUUGUCUACUCAAGGUUUCUUUGUGUAGUCGGACAUCCGCCGCCGCAGUCAUGUUUAGGAACAGCUUGAAGAUGCUGCUGACGGGAGGCAAGGCCAACCGCAAGAGUCGCAACAGCGGUGAGUGCGAUGGUCUCUUACGAUGGCCGCCACGAUGGCGCUUCUGCCUGUCAGCUACAGGAGGCGUCAGCGAGGUCUCUCAUUUUAUUUUAGAUAUAAAUAAAACUCUCCAAGGUUUUUCAGUUCAGGUUUCUGAAAAAGCAGUUGUUA